GCUGCUUGCGGAGCUGCGCCCAGGGGAUGACCUUUUUCCUUUGCGCGGAGAAGGGGGCUUGAGAAACCCGAGCUCUGAACCAGGUGGGAUUCAUUCAUUCACGCAUGCAUUCAUUCAUGUAGUCAGUCAGUCAAUCAGUCAACAAAUAUUUGUCAAGGCCCCACAAUGUGCUAGGCACUGUUCUAGGUACUGAGGGACACAGCGGUGCCCGAGGUAGACAAGGUUCCUGCUCCUCUUGUGUUUGUCAUGCUUGCUGGGGAGACGGACAAGGAAAAUGAUAAAGUUAACAGUAAAUAGUAAAGGCUGGGCCAUGGCGGGAGAUGUGAUCAGAGAAGGCUUCUCAGAGGUCGUGGCCUUGACAGACGAACAGGCCACCGCACGCAGUCCCUGCUGAACCUGCAUUCCCAGCGUCUGUGUCAAAGACCCGGGGCGGCAAAACGACCAGGAGGAUAAAAGAGCAUCGCAGUCGUAACGGCUGCCGAAAUAGCUCAGUUGGGAGAGCGUUAGACUGAAGAUCUAAAGGUCCCUGGUUCGAUCCCGGGUUUCGGCACUUCCUCUUUUUCCUUCCCCCCGGGGGAAAAAGGAGGUGCAUAGACGAAGCCGAUUCCUUCCAAUUGAUCAAAGGCUUUUACUUUCUAUAUUUAACAAAGCCCCGAGCAGUGUCCGCGAGGAGCCAGAGGGAAAGGAAACUCCCCCUCCACUCCCCGUUUGGGU
rnacentral:lncRNA from 1 species